CUCGCGGACCGGGCCCCUCUGGCGGCUGUUCCCCCUGACAGUCGCGAUGUCGGACCGCUUCG
rfam:Sphingomonas sp. SRS2 contig86, whole genome shotgun sequence.